ensembl:lncRNA
GAUAAGAGAAGAGGACAAGCGAUGUGGAGCAGUGAGAAGCAAAGCUGCCCAGCCAAGUCCAGCAUACAUGCACCUGUGUGAGCUACAACAAUGAACGAUUGUUGUUUAAGGCCUCCGAGCUGUGGGGUAGUUUUUUAUUUAGCAAUAGACAUCAUCAGGGGCUGAGCCAGCACCACCUCCUCUGCCAAGCCCACUUGCCCGGGAGCGCCCAACUCUGCCACUUGGAGGACAGCACAAGUUUGAAGCCAGUGCCAUCACACAGGGCCCUGCAUGCAGAAGGCCCCCCACAUUUGGCACUGGAGGGAGAAGAAUUGGAGAGGCCACCAUCUUCUUGGACUCCCCUCAUUUUCACCAUGAGGCUCACUGCAGACAAAUCAGCUCCACCAGGCAGAGACGAAAGUACAGAAGUGCUCAGUGAAGAGGAAGAAGAAGAUGGAUUUGGCCCUGAAACCCUAAUUCAUUUCUACCUAGAGGACAUUUUUAUUUUGCCUGCAGCAAGGAGAAAGUGAUCCAUUGCAACUGUGAUUCAAGGGUACUGCCUUCCUGCCUUCCUCCUUUCUCUUCUGCUUUAGGAGAGAGAAAGGUUUGAAGAGACAAACUCAUUCUCUAGAAUGUAAAACCAGAGCUCAACAGGAGGAAAAAAAACCUCAUUACAAAUGUCAGAUCAAGGUAGAAUUAAUUUGAAUAUCUGGGUUACCAUAGAGACCAGGGCAUGAAUUGACCCCACUGGCCCCUCAAGUUUUCCCGAAGAUGAUUUCUGGUUCAGAAGGUGGCACCAAAUCCCUGCAAAUGAUUGCUGGUUCGGGGAGGGGAUAUGAAAGAGCCAGAGUGGGAAGGCAGCUCAGGAAAGCUGCGAGAUGUUCAUCGGGUCAAACUGUGUAACUAACUGGUCUUACUGAUUUCGAGAAUAGUGCUCUAUUCAAUUCCUAUUACAUGUUAUUCUUUAUGAUGUGUUUGCACAUUUACUGUUUUACUUGAACUCUCAACAACUCUGCAAGAUAGGUGACGUGGCUAUUAAUAUAUCAAUUUUAUGAAUAAAGAAGUAGAGUUACAGAAAGUUUAAGUGUCUUAUCAAAGUUAUGAAAUGAUUAUUGAAGAGAGGGGACGAGACCUCUUAUCUCCCAACACCAAAUUCAUUCAUCUUUUCACUCUGCCAUACUUCACUGCCAUGGGAUUAUAUGUAAAGGCACUACACCUGAAAAAACCAAUAGUGAAAAAUGGCCCCUUUGUCUCCAUCCUAACUCCCUCCACUCACCUAAUUCUAUGUGGUUCCGGCAAGAAACUGGGGUGAGAAUUUGAAGGGCCCUUAAAUGCCACAUGACAAAAGCUGGGCUGUGGAUGCCCACAAUUGACAGAGGACACAGGUGAAUUCAUCAGUCAUGUAUUCAAGAGGCCUCUAUGGUGCUCUUCUCUGCCCCCAUUGUGCAUUCAGCACCUUUGGGAACACAAGGGAAGCACAGAGAACACACUCCCCCCUGUGCUGAAGCAGCUCACAUGCCUCUAGGAAGAUGAGAUAAGACUUGGGAAACAAUUAAUGGGUGGUCCAAGACAAGAGAUAAUCAAGUCUUAGAUUGUGUGAUUAAAACAUAAAGAACAAUAGGAGUUCACAGAAGAAAUACAUCACUGAUGGAUUCAUGGAGAGGCGGGCUAAGACAGAGAUUUGAAUGACGGUGGGAAUCUGGCCAGGUGAGAAGUAGGAGGACAGUUGAGGUAGAAGAAACUAUCGGUCACAUUGUCUGUGACAGCCGAGUGAACAAAACAAAGCCCUGUGGUCUUACAUUCAGAUCCCGAACACACACACACACUCCAGAUGUCACUUACCAUUUAUGAGUCUGUAAAAUGGGAUAAUAACGGUUACAGCACAGAAUAAUAGUGAGGGUUAAAAGAGAUUAUGUAUGAGGUCAGCUCCUAGCAUAAUGCUCAGCACAGAGGAGAGUCUCCAUACUUUUUAGCUAACCUGAAGAGAAAAGGAGCAUGUCCCGCUACUGCCCAAUUCACAAUUUUUAACCAUGAGACAUAUGCUGUCAUGGAUCUUUGAAAAGAAACAAACCUAGGUAUUUCUUAAGCAUUGAUCCUGGUUUCACACACACACACACACACACACAGCCGGGCAUGGCAUGGUGGCUCAUGCCUAUAAUCCCAGCACUUUGGAAGGCCAAGGUGAGUGGAUCACUUGAGGUCAGGAGUUUGAGACCAGCUGGCCAACAUGGUGAAACCCAGUCUCUACUAAACAUAACAAAAAUUAGCCAGGCAUGGUGAGGUAGGCACUUGUAGUCCCAGCUACUCCAGAGGCUGAGGCACGAGAAAUCGCUUGAACCAGGGAAGCAGAGGUCGCAGUGAGCCGAGAUCAUGCCACUGCACUCCAGCCUGAAUGACAGAGCAAGACUCCAUCUCAAAAAAAACAAAACAAAGCAAAAAACACACAAAAAUGCUUUAAUAGACAAUUGAUAACUUUUGACAAUUGGAUCUAAAAUAGUCUAUAAAUCCUUUUCAGUGAUGAGAGGGAAGUUAUUGUUUAUGGAAAGA